GUUAUGUCCUUGAAACUUAAAGAAUUUGGCGGUAUCUCAUUCCGUCCAGAGGAAUCUGUCUCGUUAUCGAUAGUCCGCGUUGGACCUUACUUAGUUGCUUUGGUUUGUAUACCGCCGUUUAUUUGAUUAUCUUUUUAGAGUUGUUGUAAUUUUCUGGUCUCUUUAUUUUGGUUUAUUUCAGGUCAAGGUGCAGCUUGUUUCUAAGUGGAAUGAUGGAUUACAUUGUUAUUUGUUUUUGGAUUGUUUGUUUUAAUAUGGGCAUGAAAUUGGAUUUGGUUGUAAUGAUUUGUAGAUUGUUAUUAUGAUAAUUGGUUCUGGGAUAUGUACACAUCGCCCGUCGCU
rnacentral:rRNA from 1 species